AAAGUUUUAGCUUAAUUAAAGUGUCUGGGUUGCAUUCAGAAGAUGCGGGAUAAAGUCCUGCAAGUUUUA
rnacentral:tRNA from 1 species